AUUGAACGCUGGCGGCAGGCCUAACACAUGCAAGUCGAGCGGAGCGGCGGACGGGCGAGUAAGGCCGAGGAACCUGCGUGGUAGCGCGGGAUAGCGUCCGGAAACGUGGACUCAUCUCGCAAACUCUCAGAUGAGCCUAGGUCUGAUUGGCUAGUUGGUGGGGUAAUGGCCCAAAAAGGCGACGAUCCGUAACUGGUCUGCGAGUAUGAUCAGACACACUGGAACUGAGACACGGUCCAGCCUCCUACGGGAGGCAGCAGUGGGGAAUAUUGGACAAUGGGCGAAAGCCUGAUGCAGCCAUGCCGCGUGUGUGAAGAAGGUCUUCGGAUUGUAAAGCACUUUAAGUUAGGAGGCGUUACCAGCAGAAGAAGCACCGGCUAACUUCGUGCCAGCAGCCGCGGUAAUUC
rnacentral:rRNA from 1 species